rnacentral:rRNA from 1 species
UUAAUUGAAGAGUUUGAUCAUGGCUCAGAUUGAACGCUGGCGGCAGGCCUAACACAUGCAAGUCGAACGGUAACAGGAAGCAGCUUGCUGCUUUGCUGACGAGUGGCGGACGGGUGAGUAAUGUCUGGGAAACUGCCUGAUGGAGGGGGAUAACUACUGGAAACGGUGGCUAAUACCGCAUAACGUCGCAAGACCAAAGAGGGGGACCUUCGGGCCUCUUGCCAUCAGAUGUGCCCAGAUGGGAUUAGCU